AUUGAACGCUGGCGGCAUGCCUUACACAUGCAAGUCGAACGGCAGCACGGGUGCUUGCCCCUGGUGGCGAGUGGCGAACGGGUGAGUAAUACAUCGGAACAUGUCCUGUAGUGGGGGAUAGCCCGGCGAAAGCCGGAUUAAUACCGCAUACGAUCCACGGAUGAAAGCGGGGGACCUUCGGGCCUCGCGCUAUAGGGUUGGCCGAUGGCUGAUUAGCUAGUUGGUGGGGUAAAGGCCUACCAGGGCGACGAUCAGUAGCUGGUCUGAGAGGACGACCAGCCACACUGGGACUGAGACACGGCCCAGACUCCUACGGGAGGCAGCAGUGGGGAAUUUUGGACAAUGGGCGAAAGCCUGAUCCAGCAAUGCCGCGUGUGUGAAGAAGGCCUUCGGGUUGUAAAGCACUUUUGUCCGGAAAGAAAUCCUUGACUCUAAUACAGUCGGGGGAUGACGGUACCGGAAGAAUAAGCACCGGCUAACUACGUG
rnacentral:rRNA from 1 species